AAUGAACGUUGGCGGCGUGGAUUAGGCAUGCAAGUCGAGCGAGAACCCAGCAAUGGGGGACAGCGGCGAAAGGGACAGUAAUGUGUAGAUCAUCUGCCCUCAGGUCCGGGAUAGCUGCGGGAAACUGCAGGUAAUACCGGAUAACAUCUCCGGAUCAAAGGUGUGAUUCCGCCUGAGGAUGAGUCUACAUCCUAUUAGCUAGUUGGUGGGGUAAUGGCCUACCAAGGCGAUGAUGGGUAGCGGGUGUGAGAGCACGACCCGCGUCAUUGGGACUGAGACACUGCCCAGACACCUACGGGUGGCUGCAGUCGAGAAUCUUCGGCAAUGGGCGCAAGCCUGACCGAGCGACGCCGCGUGCGGGAUGAAGGCCUUCGGGUUGUAAACCGCUGUCAGAGGGGAUGAAAUGCAGGUGGGUUCUCCCAUCUGUUUGACAUAGCCUCAGAGGAAGGACGGGCUAAGUUCGUGCCAGCAGCCGCCGUAAAAC
rnacentral:rRNA from 1 species